rnacentral:misc_RNA from 1 species
GAGAGAGAGAGAGAGAGAAGAAAGAAAAGCUGGGGAAUAUAAUAUAAUUUGAGACCAGAAUUGAUAGAUCAUCUAUGCCAAUUUGUGACCAGAAUAUAAAAUGGUUCCAUAAAUUUCUUUUUCCCCCUCCAUCUUCUUGAAAGCAACUGCAACUGAACGACAGGCUAACUUGCUUUUGCCUGAGCUCACUUACCAUGGAAUGAGCAAACCUUUUACCAUAUCAGGACCUCAAACAUAGAACCUUUUAGAAUCUUGAGCUUUAGUUACAUGACAUUCAAUCAUGGCUUAAAAGUGUUUGUUAAAAAUAAUUACAACAAAUCUCCCCCAAUUUCAUGUUCAUGGAAAAAGUAAAAUAUUAACUUAAAAUCAUAAAUAUAAAAUUCUCACCGCCAAACGAACUUCUGAAUCCUGUUGAAGAACUGAUAAGAAAAGACCCUGCCAAUUGUUGCAACUUAGUUUUACUUGGAAACCAUAUGAAGAGCAUAUCAUAAAGAGAGAAAACACAAUUGUUGCCCAGGAUGGAAGUGCCAUAUGCAAACACCACCCACAGAGCUAAGAAUAUGAAAACCUAUUUGUUGUCUUUACUUGGUGAGUUAGAGUUAGAGGAACAUAUAUCAAUGAUCAAACUAAGGGUGGAUAACGAGCAUUGGAAAACCAAAUCGUACCAGUCAAACUAAACUGAUCAAUUCGGUUAACCAGCCUAGCUCAGUUAGGUAUCAGUACAAGCUUCAGGAAUUUUUCAGCUUCUGCUCGAGACCAGUUUUUUACUUGAAAAACCACUGGUUAACCAAACCAAACUGGAAAGGCAUACAAUUUGUCUUUUAUACACGCGCGCACACACACACACAUUUUGUUAGUUAUAAAACUAUCACCAUUUUUUAAAAACCUUAAAAAAAUAAAUUGAUAUUAGGAAAAUGGGGAAAUUUAGGUACAUCUACAUCCAUUAAUGUAUUUUUAUUCAUUUAAUUUAUUUUCAAUUGUGUUUAUAGCUAAUUUGGUGGACUAAUAUUUGGCAUUAGCUAUUAAUUAAUAAAAAUUUAUCUUCGCUUUUGAAUAUCUCAAUGUUUUAUUAAUUGUGUUAACUGUUAAGGUUUAUGCAUUGAUUUUCUUCCCUUUUUUU